GGACUACCAGGGUAUCUAAUCCUGUUUGAUCCCCACGCUAUCGUGCCUCAGCGUCGGUACGUCCCCAGCGAGCUGCCUUCGCUAUCGGCGUUCUGGUAGAUAUCUAUGCAUUUCACCGCUACACCUUCCAUUCCGCCCGCCCAGAGACGACCCAAGCCGCCCAGUAUCGGGGGCACUCCACGGGUUGAGCCCGUGGGUUUCACCCCCGACUUAGGCGGCCGCCUACGCACCCUUUAAACCCAAUAAAUCCGGACAACGCUCGCACCCUCCGUAUUACCGCGGCGGCUGGCAC
rnacentral:rRNA from 1 species